UACGUAGGGUGCAAGCGUUAAUCGGAAUACUGGGCGUAAAGCGUGCGCAGGCGGUUUUGUAAGUCAGAUGUGAAAUCCCCGGGCUUAACCUGGGAACUGCAUUUGUGACUGGCGGGCUAGAGUAUGGCAGAGGGGGGGUAGAAUUCCACGUGUAGCAGUGAAAUGCGUAGAGAUGUGGAGGAAUACCGAUGGCGAAGGCAGCCCCCCUGGGCCAAUACUGACGCUCAUGCACGAAAGCGUGGGGGAGCAAACAGG
rnacentral:rRNA from 1 species